UACGAAGGGGGGCUAGCGUUGCUCGGAAUGACUGGGCGUAAAGGGCGCGUAGGCGGAUGGUACAGUCAGAUGUGAAAUUCCUGGGCUUAACCUGGGGGGCUGCAUUUGAUACGUGUUGUCUAGAGUGAGGAAGAGGGUCGUGGAAUUCCCAGUGUAGAGGUGAAAUUCGUAGAUAUUGGGAAGAACACCGGUGGCGAAGGCGGCGACCUGGUCCUUUACUGACGCUGAGGCGCGAAAAGCGUGGGGAGCAAACAGG
rnacentral:rRNA from 1 species